rnacentral:rRNA from 1 species
AGAACGAACGCUGGCGGCGUGCUUAACACAUGCAAGUCGAGUGCGCGGUUGUAGCAAUACAACUGGCGCACGGCGCACGGGUGCGUAACACGUGGGCAAUCUGCCCUCCGAUGGGGAAUAACCCCGCGAAAGCGGGGCUAAUUCCGCAUAACAUUCCUUGGACCUCGGUUCGAGGACUCAAAGCCGUAAGGCGUCGGAGGUGGAGCCCGCGCACGAUUAGCUAGUUGGCAGGGUAACGGCCUACCAAGGCUUUGAUCGUUAGC